UCCCACAGACCAGCUAUACGCCACCGUGCUUCGCUGUCGGAAAUACCCCACUGACGACGGCCGUCGUCCAAACCACCCCAAAAUUUUACCCUUUCUUCUUCUCAACAUCUUCUCCAUGAAUCCAAACCCCAAAUCAUUUAAAUCCCUUUCAGUCUUCGUAAAUCUAAGCCUAAUUGAAACCCUAGGCGCCGCUCACCACCCCAAACUCCAAAAAUGUUACACCACAGGUCCUCUCACUCUCCUCUUCUCCGUUCCAUGCCCCAAAACCUUCAAAAUCCCUCCAAAAUCAAGUUAAAAUUCGGCCGACUUCCGG
rnacentral:lncRNA from 1 species